rnacentral:rRNA from 1 species
GACGAACGCUGGCGGCGUGCUUAACACAUGCAAGUCGAACGGAAAGGCCCUGCUUUUGUGGGGUGCUCGAGUGGCGAACGGGUGAGUAACACGUGAGUAACCUGCCCUUGACUUUGGGAUAACUUCAGGAAACUGGGGCUAAUACCGGAUAGGAGCUCCUGCUGCAUGGUGGGGGUUGGAAAGUUUCGGCGGUUGAGGAUGGACUCGCGGCUUAUCAGCUUGUUGGUGGGGUAGUGGCUUACCAAGGCUUUGACGGGUAGCCGGCCUGAGAGGGUGACCGGCCACAUUGGGACUGAGAUACGGCCCAGACUCCUACGGGAGGCAGCAGUGGGGAAUAUUGCACAAUGGGCGGAAGCCUGAUGCAGCAACGCCGCGUGCGGGAUGACGGCCUUCGGGUUGUAAACCGCUUUCGCCUGUGACGAAGCGUGAGUGACGGUAAUGGGUAAAGAAGCACCGGCUAACUACGUGCCAGCAGCCGCGGUGAUACGUAGGGUGCGAGCGUUGUCCGGAUUUAUUGGGCGUAAAGGGCUCGUAGGUGGUUGAUCGCGUCGGAAGUGUAAUCUUGGGGCUUAACCCUGAGCGUGCUUUCGAUACGGGUUGACUUGAGGAAGGGUAGGGGAGAAUGGAAUUCCUGGUGGAGCGGUGGAAUGCGCAGAUAUCAGGAGGAACACCAGUGGCGAAGGCGGUUCUCUGGGCCUUUCCUGACGCUGAGGAGCGAAAGCGUGGGGAGCGAACAGGCUUAGAUACCCUGGUAGUCCACGCUGUAAACGGUGGGUACUAGGUGUGGGGUCCAUUCCACGGGUUCCGUGCCGUAGCUAACGCUUUAAGUACCCCGCCUGGGGAGUACGGCCGCAAGGCUAAAACUCAAAGGAAUUGACGGGGCCCCGCACAAGCGGCGGAGCAUGCGGAUUAAUUCGAUGCAACGCGUAGAACCUUACCUGGGUUUGACAUGGAUCGGGAGCGCUCAGAGAUGGGUGUGCCUCUUUUGGGGUCGGUUCACAGGUGGUGCAUGGCUGUCGUCAGCUCGUGUCGUGAGAUGUUGGGUUAAGUCCCGCAACGAGCGCAACCCUUGUUCACUGUUGCCAGCACGUUAUGGUGGGGACUCAGUGGAGACCGCCGGGGUCAACUCGGAGGAAGGUGGGGAUGACGUCAAGUCAUCAUGCCCCUUAUGUCCAGGGCUUCACGCAUGCUACAAUGGCUGGUACAGAGAGUGGCGAGCCUGUGAGGGUGAGCGAAUCUCGGAAAGCCGGUCUCAGUUCGGAUUGGGGUCUGCAACUCGACCUCAUGAAGUCGGAGUCGCUAGUAAUCGCAGAUCAGCAACGCUGCGGUGAAUACGUUCCCGGG